CCAUGUGGGCUUUAUAUAGUUGCUUCAUCACACAUGCAUUAAAAAGUGAUUUGAUAUUUCAAUGUAUUUGUUUGUUAAUUUUUAUUUUCAUAUAUGCAAGUGUCGGUUUCACCCGUGCAUCAAAAGUAAUUCAAUACCUCAAUUUAUUUUUUUGUUUUUUGUUUUUCUAUCUAUCCAGGUGCCAGUUUCAUGUGUGCAUAAAAAAAUAAUUAAAUAUUUCAAUUUAUCACUGUUUUUCUAUCCGGAUGUCAAUUUCAUGCUUACAUCAAAAGUAAUUCAAUACUAUUUUGCUCCUGCACUUAACAGAAAAGUUGACAAAAUUGGCAGUAGGACUAUUUGUCAUAACGAAACUAAAGUUAAAGGACCACGGAAACCAUUUUGAAAAUUUAAGUACUCAAAUGCAAAUCGAGUCUAACCUUUCAAUUUACUUGUUUAUCAAUUGGUUUAAGUUUUUUUGUCAGACAAUUAAUUUUUUGGAUUGCUCAAAUCAAAUUCAAAUUCAUUGUGUUGUCCAUUCAAUAAGCUUGUCCCCCCUCCAUAAGAAAGAUCUGCCCUGUGCGGCAGCCUCAUAGGAGACUUUCUACCUUCACUUGCCUUGCAACUGAAAAAUAUAAAAAAUGCGGCCAGCCAGCAGUGAGCUAGUUUGGAUAAAAUAUCAAUCUAGUGGAAAGUCCUGUCGUGUGCAAUGGAAUAUACUAGAAGAAAUAUAUUUUUUUCUGGACCUUUCCGAGACCAAUGGAGGGAGUCCUAACAUUUGAGGUUUGACAGCUUGGCCUUUGUCUUUUCAAGGAAAGUAAGAUCACGUCCACUGAUCCAUCACCAAAAUCUUCCUUUCCUUUAUAGGUUGAAUUUCUGCGGACAUAAUAUGAUAAUAAUAAAGUAGCAUAUGGUUUGAUAUUUUAAAUUCUGGUUGGACAAGGUUCCGGUGAGCUUUCUGUCUUCUGGCUGUGGAUGAACCCAUCUGGCAUCUGGGUGGUUACAGAUUUGCAGGUUUGGUUACCAGAAUGAAAGAAGUUUCUAGAUUAGCUUCCCAACCUUCCUUUGAGGUUUGGAUACAUUUUUUUUCCUUUCUUUUCUCGUCUUGCUUUCCUUUUUUUUUUUUUUUUUUUUCAGAAGAAAUUAACAACACUUUCUUGCCUCUGCUCGCUAUUUUUGGAAUUGAAAUAUUUUCUUCCUGUCAAGGUACAUUGAACAAAAAAUUUGUUUUACCACAAUAGGCUUUCAAGCUCAAAUAGGAAGCAAUUUUUGUUGCGUGGUUUUCCAAAUUUCUUUUUGAUUGUGAAUACGAUGAAUGCUAUCGAUAUGUUAAAUUGUCACAUAGACAUGAGAUGGCAAAAAUUGAAGGUUAAAAUUGAUCCAACCGAGUAAUCAAAUUCUAUAUGAAUUUGAAGGCUUGUAGAGAUAUGUCAAAAUUAACAUAUCAAAAAGCUUGAUGUCAAAUAUUAUUUUAAUAUUUUUAAGUUAUGGACCCCAUUAUCAUUUACUCUCUUUUAAAACUUUAUGCAUCAUAUGAGCCACAUUUGAUUAUGAAAAUGUAAUAAAAUAAUAUGAUAUUUGACAUUUUAGGUGGAAUUAAAUUUUUUUUCCAAAGUGUCAAAUUACCACAUAAGUUAUAAAAUUCAAAUUUAACAUUUUGCAUUUGACAUUUCCCUUGGAGAUGCUCUAAAUUAGGGGUGGGCACUCAAACCGGCGAACCGGAAAUCCAAACCAAAC
rnacentral:lncRNA from 1 species